AGUCCAGAGCGCGGAGACACUUGGCCAGCACGGCGGUGGCCCGCAGCGCGGCGGCCGGCGACAGCAGCGCGUCGGCGGCGGCCUCCAGGAACUGCGUGCGGAAGGCGCGCGAAAGUAUCUGCGGAUUUUCUUGCUUAUUCUUCAUCUGACCCGAAUAUUCAGACUGUGUGACCGGAUCAGUGUUUGAAUGCAAACAACCGGUCAAAAUUCCCGUGUAUAUUGACUGAAUAAUGUCUACUACUGUAAGCCACUAAAAAACAAAUGAAGAACUCAAUGUUGGCAGCUAUUUGAUGGCGACUUAGACUGUACGAGUAUAUCACUCGAUCGAUAUUCCUAUCAUAUAGAAAUCGCAAAUAUUAUAAUUUCGUCUAUGAAUACUAUACUAGUGGUAUGACCAUGUAAGGUUUUCCUAAUGUUUAUAAGUAAACGUUAGAAAUUCAUUUA